rnacentral:rRNA from 1 species
AGAGCGAACGCUGGCGGCAGGCCUAACACAUGCAAGUCGAGCGGCCGUAGCAAUACGGCAGCGGCAGACGGGAGAGUAACACGUGGGAACGCGCCCUUCGGUUCGGAAUAACUCAGGGAAACUUGGGCUAAUACCGGAUACGCCCUUACGGGGAAAGAUUUAUUGCCGAAGGAACGGCCCGCGUCCGAUUAGCUUGUUGGUGAGGUAACGGCUCACCAAGGCGACGAUCGGUAGCUGGUCUGAGAGGAUGACCAGCCUCACUGGGACUGAGACACGGCCCAGACUCCUACGGGAGGCAGCAGUGGGGAAUAUUGGACAAUGGGCGCAAGCCUGAUCCAGCCAUGCCGCGUGGGUGAUGAAGGCCCUAGGGUUGUAAAGCUCUUUUGUGCGGGAAGAUAAUGACGGUACCGCAAGAAUAAGCCCCGGCUAACUUCGUGCCAGCAGCCGC